rnacentral:rRNA from 1 species
AUUGAACGCUGGCGGCAUGCCUUACACAUGCAAGUCGAACGGCAGCACGGGUGCUUGCACCUGGUGGCGAGUGGCGAACGGGUGAGUAAUACAUCGGAACGUACCUUAUCGUGGGGGAUAACGCAGCGAAAGCUGUGCUAAUACCGCGUACGCCCUGAGGGGGAAAGCGGGGGAUCGCAAGACCUCGCGCGAUUGGACCGGCCGAUGCCUGAUUAGCUUGUUGGUGGGGUAAAAGCCCACCAAGGCGACGAUCAGUAGCUGGUCUGAGAGGACGAUCAGCCACACUGGGACUGAGACACGGCCCAGACUCCUACGGGAGGCAGCAGUGGGGAAUUUUGGACAAUGGGGGCAACCCUGAUCCAGCAAUGCCGCGUGAGUGAAGAAGGCCUUCGGGUUGUAAAGCUCUUUUGUCAGGGAAGAAACACCGGCUCUAACACAGUCCGGGAAUGACGGUACCUGAAGAAUAAGCACCGGCUAACUACGUGCCAGCCGCCGCCGUAA